rnacentral:rRNA from 1 species
UACAGAGGGGGCGUGCGUUGUUCGGAAUUACUGGGCGUAAAGGCGCGUAGGCGGCCUUCUAAGUCGAACGUGAAAUCCCCGGGCUCAACCCGGGAACUGCGUCCGAUACUGGGAGGCUUGAAUCCGGGAGAGGGAUGUGGAAUUCCCGGUGUAGCGGUGAAAUGCGUAGAGAUCGGGAGGAACACCAGUGGCGAAGGCGAGUUCCUGGACACUUCCUGACACUGAGGCACGAAAGCUAGGGGAGCAAACAGG